GACGAACGCUGGCGGCGUGCUUAACACAUGCAAGUCGAACGAAGUGGCGAACGGGUGAGUAACACGUGAGUAACCUGCCCUCUUCUUUGGGAUAACGGUCGGAAACGGCUGCUAAUACUGGAUAGUGGGGGAUGGGCUCGCGGCCUAUCAGCUUGUUGGUGGGGUGAUGGCCUACCAAGGCUUUGACGGGUAACCGGCCUGAGAGGGUGACCGGUCACUUUGGGACUGAGACACGGCCCAGACUCCUACGGGAGGCAGCAGUAGGGAAUCUUCGGCAAUGGGGGGAACCCUGACCGAGCAACGCCGCGUGAGUGAAGAAGGUUUUCGGAUCGUAAAGCUCUGUUGUUAAGGAAACGGUACUUAACCAGAAAGGGACGGCUAACUACGUGCCAGCCGCCGCGGUAAUAC
rnacentral:rRNA from 1 species